AAAGGAGGCAGAGAAUGAGGUCUGCCAGUGAUUUUUUUUUAAAUGGCCGCAGUACCUUGACUGUGCUAAGGUAGCAUAAUCAAUUGGCUUCUAAUUAAAGUCUGGAAUGAAAGGAAAUAUGAAGUAAUUCUAUCUUAAAGGAUUUUUUUUGAAUUUAUUUAAAUGAUGAAAAUAUCAUUUUAUAGAAAAAAGACGAGAAGACCCUUAGAGUUUUGAUAUUUAUAUAUUUUUGUUGGGGCGACAGGUAAACAUAUAACUUUACGAAUUAUCAUUGAUCGAUUUUUUAUAAGAAUAAUAAAACUACCUUAGGGAUAACAGCAUUAUAUUUUUUUUUAUGAUUGUGACCUCGAUGUUGGACUAGGAACUUUAUGGCUAGCCGUCAAAAAAGAUUUGUUCUGUUCGAACAAUUUUAUCCUACGUGAUCUGG
rnacentral:rRNA from 1 species